rnacentral:sRNA from 1 species
AACACACCCUAGACAGGGGCAGGGCAGGACACCCCUUCCAAGCCGGCCUAGGCUGGAGCACAUGUCCUCUGAGGCUGCAUUCAGGGCACAAGCCCUGCCAGGACCCAGGGCCCGGGUUGGGGGCCUAGGGCAAGGGCAGCAGGGCCUCUGUCCAGGAGGGGUCUCUGCGGGUGGGGGAGGCCUCUGUUGGGCCUGCUGAGCCCGAUUCCCUCCCUGCCAGCCCUUGCCCUGCGCUGCCACGUGUGCACCAGCUCCAGCAACUGCAAGCAGCCUGCGGUCUGCCCGGCCAGCUCUCGCUUCUGCAAGACCAUGAACACAGUGGAGCCUCUGAAGGGGAAUCUGGUGAAGAAGGACUGUGCGGAGUCGUGCACACCCAACUACACCCUGCAAGGCCAGGUCAGCAGCGGCACCGGCUCCAUCCAGUGCUGCCAGGAGGACCUGUGCAACGAGAAGCUGCACAACGCUGCACCCACCCGCACCG